UACGUAGGGACCGAGCGUUGUCCGGAAUCAUUGGGCGUAAAGAGCGUGUGAGGCGGCCACUUAAGUCCUGCGUGAAAUCUUGCGGCUCAACCGCAAGCGGUCGUGGGAAACUGGGUGGCUAGAGUGCGGGAGAGGAGAGUGGAAUUCCUGGUGUAGCGGUGGAAUGCGCAGAUAUCAGGAAGAACACCCGUGGCGAAGGCGGCUCUCUGGAACGCAACUGACGCUGAGACGCGAAAGCGUGGGGAGCAAACAGG
rnacentral:rRNA from 1 species